UAUUGAAUAAGUUUAGAAAUAGAGAAAGGUGGCCUCGUGCUACCGCCAAAGGAUGAGCCCGCGGCCUAUUAGUUAGUUGGCGAGGUAAUGGCUCACCAAGACGAAGAUGGGUAACCGGCCUGAGAGGGCGAACGGUCACACUGGAACUGAAACACGGUCCAGACUCCUACGGGAGGCAGCAGUGGGGAAUAUUGCACAAUGGGCGAAAGCUUGAUGCAGCGACGCCGCGUGGAGGAUGAAGGUUUUCGGAUUGUAAACUCCUGUUAAGUGGGAAGAAAGACUCAUGGCUAAUAUCCAUGAGGGAUGACGGUACCACUAGAGAAAGCACCGGCAAACUUCGUGCCAGCAGCCGCGGUAAUACGAAGGGUGCGAGCGUUAUUCGGAAUGACUGGGUGUAAAGAGCGUGGAGGCGGCUUAGUAAGUCAGCUGUUAAAUAGCCCAGCUUAACUGGGCAAAUGCGGAUGAUACUAUUAGGCUAGAGUACAAGAGAGAAGAGUGGAAUUCUCGGAGUAGCGGUAAAAUGCGUAGAUCUCGAGAGGAACACCGGUUGCGAAGGCGGCUCUUUGGCUUGUAACUGACGCUUGAGCGCGAAAGCGUGGGGAGCAAACAGGAUUAGAUACCCUGGUAGUCCACGCCGUAAACGAUGAUCACUAGAUGUGGGCUCUGCUUGCAGAGUCUGUGUCGUAGCUAACGCGUUAAGUGAUCCACCUGGGUAGUACGGUCGCAAGAUUAAAACUCAAAGGAAUUGACGGGGGUCCGCACAAGCGGUGGAACAUGUGGUUUAAUUCGACACUACGCGAGGAACCUUACCUAGGUUUGACAUGUAAACGCUACUGAUGG
rnacentral:rRNA from 1 species